GUAUGGGUUUGAGUCCCGGCUCUCCUGGUUGCUGAGCUGUGUGAUUUGAGGCACAUUAUUCAACUUUGCAAGCCUCAGCUUCCUCACUUGUUAAAAGGGAGGGAUAAUAAUAGUACUCACCUCAGAAGGCUGUUGUGAGAAUUAAAUAAUUCCUGUAAAGCAGGUAGCAGAGUGCUUGGCACAUAGCAUCCAGGAAAAACUGAGCGAGUUCUUGUGAAACUGAAGUACACUGAAGGUGUUUGCUAUUUAAAGGUAUCUUCUGGUGGAUCGUCUUGGAAAACAUGGACCCAAAUCUUGCGAGAGCUAUCAGUGAGUCUCCUCUCCUGCUCUGCAUCUCUCAGGACUGUGUCCCAGCUCCAGAAGAAUGAGCCUGCACAGCUUGGACUGUCACCUCUGGCAGGUUCCUGCUCUUUGAUGAAGCCUCGUCAUAAUUACAGCUGUGCCAAAAUAUGUGCUUUGCCUCCUGGCUGAGUGACAGUGGCCAUCCGAAGGCAGUGACUUUCCAGGGCACAAGGACCUCCAAAGGCAAGUGUUUGAGCUCAGCCCUUCUCGGUGGCCCACAGGAAUCGCUUCCCAUUGGAACACUGCCACCAAGGCUCUGGAGCUGAGUUUGUGACAUGGAGACAUUCAUGGCAUUUUUCCUGUCCCUCAAGGGUCAGGCAGAUCUGGUGCUUUCCCCCUCCUGGAAAUGGAUAGAGCUGGCUGAAAGCUUCUUGGGAUGAAAUUUGUCUUUUGUGCCUCAGGUGAAAUCUGACUGAUUUUGAAUGGUGUGCCCAUUUCUGGGCUUCCCACCCUCCAGAUCCCCUGGGGCCAGAUUCCUAGCACCCCAGGAAGCUGUUGGGGGAUCUGGGUCUCUAGGCACUGAGAAGAUGGGGAGAAGCUCUGAUAAUCAGAAGCCUAAUAACCAGGUCUCCAGGGCUCAAAGGAAAAGCAAUUUCCUAGAUCUUUUUGCCUUUUAUCCAUUAAAGAAAAAUUGUCAAGGUCUAAGGAUGUUUCAAGAUUCCUUCUGAUGGAUUAAUUGGUUUGUUUUUCCCUUAAGGAAAAUUGGAUACAGAGUUUCUAAUAAUCCCUUAUUACCUUUUGGAAGAAUAUUAAUACUUGAGGUAACUUAUCUUAGGAUAUCUUAGGAUACUUACUGUCUUCAAACCUCAGCUUUCUCAGCUAUCAAAUGAGGAAAACAC
rnacentral:lncRNA from 10 species